UAUGACGUUAGCGGCGGACGGGUGAGUAACACGUGGGCAACCUGCCUGUAAGACUGGGAUAACUUCGGGAAACCGAAGCUAAUACCGGAUAGGAUCUUCCCUUCAUGGGAGAUGAUUGAAAGAUGGUUUCGGCUAUCACUUACAGAUGGGCCCGCGGUGCAUUAGCUAGUUGGUGAGGUAACGGCUCACCAAGGCAACGAUGCAUAGCCGACCUGAGAGGGUGAUCGGCCACACUGGGACUGAGACACGCCCAGACUCCUACGGAGGCAGCAGUAGGGAAUCUUCCGCAAUGGACGAAAGUCUGACGGAGCAACGCCGCGUGAGUGAUGAAGGCUUUCGGGUCGUAAAACUCUGUUGUUAGGGAGAACAAGUACAAGAGUAACUGCUUGUACCUUGACGGUACCUAACCAGAAAGCCACGGCUAACUACGUGCCAGCAGCCGCGGUAAUACGUAGGUGGCAAGCGUUAUCCGGAAUUAUUGGGCGUAAAGCGCGCGCAGGCGGUUUCUUAAGUCUGAUGUGAAAGCCC
rnacentral:rRNA from 1 species